CCUACGGGUGGCAGCAGUGAGGAAUAAUGGUCAAUGGCCGGAAGGCUGAACCAGCCAAGCCGCGUGAAGGACGAAGGUGCCAAGCAUUGUAAACUUCUUUUGUCAAGGGACAAAAUCAGGCUCGAGAGCCUGACCGAGGGUACUUGAAGAACAAGCAACGGCUAACUCCGUGCCAGCAGCCGCGGUAAUACGGGGGAUGCGGGCGUUAUCGGGAUUUAUGGGGUUUAAGGGGUGCGUAGGCGGGCUGUUAGGUCAGCGGUAAAAGCCCGGGGCUCAACCCCGGCGAGCCGUUGAAACUGGCUGACUUGAGAUGUCGAGAGGUAUGCGGAAUGCGCAGUGUAGCGGUGAAAUGCUUAGAUAUUGCGCAGAACUCCGAUUGCGAAGGCAGCAUACCGGCGGCGAUCUGACGCUGAGGCACGAAGGCGUGGGUAUCGAACAGGAUUAGAUACCCCAGUAGUC
rnacentral:rRNA from 1 species